CGUCGUCCUGAAAUUUUAAUGAGAUACAAAAUGACUGCGGAGUCGACGGCGUAUUACGCGGGACCGGGCCAUCCAUCAAAAUAGGCGGUGCGUACAGAUGGGAUUAAUCCGUCACGACGCCAGAUAAAAAUCUCCAAGACGAUGUUAUUAGAGUGUAUGUGUGAAACAGUAAACCAACUCCGUCAGUACUUAUUUAAUAUAAAAAAUAUAAAAAAUGUAAAAAUGAUUUAAAUGAAAAUCAUCAAGUUGCCUAACCUAAUCUAAUCCAAAAAAACCUACGUGUAGAAAAAUUAUUAGUUUGCUUUCAUUACAUUUUUAUUUUACUACUACAUUUAUUAUUAAAUAAAUUUUAUUUCAAAUAACA